CAAGGCAAUGGGAGGCUGGAGAGAGCAGGCCAGAGCUCAGAAUCUGAAGCAGAGAGUAUGGAUUCAAGUUCUCACUCUAUGAUUCCUUCUGCUUCAAUUUAAGAAAGGUGUUUUUUUUUAACCUCUGGAAAUCUCAGUUUCCUCAUAUGUAAAAUAAGAUUGUGAGAAAUUAAGAAGGCAUCAUCAAGCCUGGUAUGCAAUGGAACAGUGCUGUAUCAGAUCCCCAGGAAGACUAAGACUAGAAAGAGGAAAAUGAGAUCUGGCUCUGCUUCAGAGAAACUGAAAUGAAGAAAUGUGCUUCUUGUGUUUUCUUUCCCAGCAGUUACUGAAUAAUUAAUAACUACAGCAAGUUGCCUCAUUACCCCUAGGAAAUAAGAAGAUGGGAACUGAGAAGCAUCAGAAAAAGACUGAGAGGAAGAUAUGACAUUUGGACUAAGAAAAUAUACAUAAGGCUCAUAGGUCAUUUCAUCGGGGCUGUCUUUUGUGGUGAGAGAGAACUACCAGCAGGUAGAAAGCCUUUGGAACAAGGUGAAUACAUUCAAGGACUGGCAGGCAUUUCAGAGCAGUUGGAGCUUGAGGAGAAAACAGAUUGACAAGAUUUGAUGAUGUAAAGGUUGAGGAAAAAACAAGUCACAAAUGGUCUUCAGUGUCAAACCAAAGUCCUGAUUUCAUUAUAAAAUAAAGAGAAGAUAAUGAA